rnacentral:rRNA from 1 species
ACGCUCGACACCUACGGGAGACAGCAGUGGGGAAUAUUGCACAAUGGGGGAAACCCUGAUGCAGCAACGCCGCGUGAAGGAAGACGGUUUUCGGAUUGUAAACUUCUGUUCUUAGUGAAGAUAGUGACGGUAGCUAAGGAGCAAGCCACGGCUAACUACGUGCUAGCAGCCGCGGUAAUCUGAGCGGGCUGGCAAGGC